UAACGCGUGAGUAACCUGCCUUUCAGAGGGGGAUAACGUUCUGAAAAGAACGCUAAUACCGCAUGAGACUACAGAGCUGCAUGGCGUCAGUGGUCAAAGGAGCAAUCCGCUGAAAGAUGGACUCGCGUCCGAUUAGAUAGUAGGCGGGGUAACGGCCCACCUAGUCGACGAUCGGUAGCCGGACUGAGAGGUUGAACGGCCACAUUGGGACUGAGACACGGCCCAGACUCCUACGGGAGGCAGCAUG
rnacentral:rRNA from 1 species